UACAGAGGUCCCAAGCGUUGUUCGGAUUCAUUGGGCGUAAAGGGUGCGUAGGCGGUGGGGUAAGUUGGAUGUGAAAUCUUGGGGCUUAACCUCAAAAUUGCAUUCAAUACUGCUCCGCUCGAGUUCUGUAGAGGAGAUUGGAAUUUACGGUGUAGCAGUGAAAUGCGUAGAUAUCGUAAGGAACGCCAGUGGCGAAAGCGAGUCUCUGGGCAGCAACUGACGCUGAGGCACGAAGGCCAGGGGAGCAAACGGG
rnacentral:rRNA from 1 species